AUUGAACGCUGGCGGCAGGCCUAACACAUGCAAGUCGAGCGGCGCACCGGACGGGUGCGGAAUGCCUAGGAAUCUGCCUGUUAGUGGUGGAUAACGUCCGGGAACGGGAACUAUUACCGCAUCCUCUCAGAUGAGCCUAGGUCGGAUUAGCUAGUUGGUGGGGUAAUGGCCUACCAAGGCGACGAUCCCUAACUGGUCUGAGAGGAUGAUCAGUCACACUGGAACUGAGACACGGUCCAGACUCCUACGGGAGGCAGCAGUGGGGAAUAUUGGACAAUGGGCGAAAGCCUGAUCCAGCCAUGCCGCGUGUGUGAAGAAGGUCUUCGGAUUGUAAAGCACUUUAAGUUGGGAGGCGUUACCAACAGAAGAAGCACCGGCUAACUUCGUGCCAGCAGCCGCGGUAAUAC
rnacentral:rRNA from 1 species